GAAGAUAUAUCUCAGUGGUAGAGUGCAUGCUUAGCACGCAUGAGGUCCCGGGUUCAAUCCCCAGUACCUCCA
rnacentral:tRNA from 1 species